UGAGAUCCUUCUAGGAUAUGCUAACCUAGUACUCUGAGUUUAUCAACGAUUGUUAUCAGGGUGCAGCUGCAUCAGAAGUAUAGCGGAGGAGGAGCCACCCGGUCUGACCACACCCAGUGCAUCAAGGGGCUUUUCUCUCCCGAGCACUGAGGACAUAGAGCCAUUAAAAUCACUCCAUAUUCCAAGAACCUAGGCAGAGUCUGAGGCAUUCCAUGAUCUCUGCCCUGCAAGACUUUUCUCGUCCUUGCCAGCUUCCAUCUGCAAAGACCCUCCCGGAUCUUGUGAGCAGAGGUCACCUCUGUUCUCAGAUAUUUUUGCAUAAGCCCUCUUUACGAGACCCACAUGCAGUCUCCAUGUUGAGAAGGCAUUCGUGGGACCAGAGCAGUAUUGCCUGUUUUGCAACCACCCUGCGGUGUUCCCCAGUGUUGCUGCGCUCUCAGAUGGUCUUUACCUUAGGCUUGUUGUUGCUGCUUGAUCUCUAAUUAACUGCACCAAUAAUAUAGUUUAGUUCGAUGUAUAAAUUUCAGUGUACUCUGAGCCAAGCAAGCUUAUAAUUAUUUAGCUAGAAUUAACAUAGGUCUCCCCUAGCCAUCUUGACCCACAGC